AAGUCGUAACAAGGUUUCCGUAGGUGAACCUGCGGAAGGAUCAUUAACACUUCUAUAACUUAUAAUUUAUUAUAAAUUAAACCCCAAACCCCUACUUUUUCGUAUUGUUGAAAUUUAUACAGUACAACCAAAAUAACCUCUUAAUUUAACCCAAUAACACCUAACAACAUAACUAAUUGACUAAUUUCAGAUUGUACCUCUUCUUAAGCAAAUAUGUAUUCUCCUCGUUUAGCAAUAAACGUUGGAUCUGAUUUAUAUAUAGCAAUAUAUAUAUUUCUUGAGUCGUUUGUGACGAGUUGAGUCCGAUCGCUUUAUUGAUAUCACUUCAUUUCUUUGAAUUGAAAUUAAUUAACAAUAUUACAACUCUAAACAAUGGAUAUCUUGGUUCUC
rnacentral:misc_RNA from 1 species